UUCAGCCCAUACUCCAGAGAAAGCAGA
rnacentral:piRNA from 1 species